rnacentral:rRNA from 1 species
UACGAAGGGGGCUAGCGUUGUUCGGAAUUACUGGGCGUAAAGCGCACGUAGGCGGAUACUUAAGUCAGGGGUGAAAUCCCGGGGCUCAACCCCGGAACUGCCUUUGAUACUGGGUAUCUCGAGUCCGGAAGAGGUGAGUGGAAUUCCGAGUGUAGAGGUGAAAUUCGUAGAUAUCAGGAAGAACACCCGUGGCGAAGGCGGCUCUCUGGGACGGUACUGACGCUGAGACGCGAAAGCGUGGGGAGCGAACAGG